AUUCCUACGGGAGGCAGCAGUGAGGAAUAUUAGACAAUGGGCGCAAGCCUGAUCUAGCCAUGCCGCGUGAGUGAAGAAGGCCUUCGGGUUGUAAAGCUCUUUCAGAUGUGGGGAUAAUGACAGUAGCAUCAGAAGAAGCCCCGGCUAAAUUCGUGCCAGCAGCCGCGGUAAUACGAAUGGGGCAAGCGUUGUUCGGAAUCACUGGGCGUAAAGCGUACGUAGGCGGCUUUUCAAGUCAGGAGUGAAAUCCCAGGGCUCAACCCUGGAACUGCUCUUGAAACUGGAUCGCUAGAGUCCCGGAGAGGUUGGCGGAAUUCCGAGUGUAGAGGUGAAAUUCGCAGAUAUUCGGAGGAACACCAGUGGCGAAGGCGGCCAACUGGACGGGAACUGACGCUCAGGUACGAAAGCGUGGGGAGCAAACAGGAUUAGAUACCCUGGUAGUCCACGCCGUAAACGAUGUGUGCUAGUUGUUGGGCAUCAUAGAUGUUCAGUGACACAGCUAACGCGUUAAGCACACCGCCUGGGGAGUACGGUCGCAAGAUUAAAACUCAAAGGAAUUGACGGAAU
rnacentral:rRNA from 1 species